CAAAAGUGAAAACAAUUGAAACUACAAGGACUGAAAGCUGCAAAAUAACAAAACUUGAUCUCAAGGUUUAACAAUGGCGAUCUCCAACUCAGAACAACAACGACGUUUAUUUAUGCUAUACGACACUGAGAGAGGAGCCACGCCCGGCGAGUAGGAGACGACUUGAACAUGAAAGCCGAAGUGGAGGGGCGAACCACGUAAAGAUCGCAAUGUAUGGGGAUCAAUCUCCAUCGAGAAUCGAGAAAGGAGGCUACCUGUGGUAAAGCAAUCGGCGACAUGGAUAUGUGACCUUUUAGUACAGAGGCAGCAGGAGACGCUUAAUUCAAAUAUUAGAAGGAAUCUGAGAUAUUAGAAGCAGAGAAGAUGGAUUCGCCACAAUAAUUAGUUUUUAGAAUCUAGAAUUUUAACGAGAAAUUUUUUGGAAAAUUGGAUAACUAGUGAUUUUAGGGUUUGUAAAAUCAAU
rnacentral:lncRNA from 1 species